AACUCCCUAUUUGGAUUAAUAACAAUGUUGUCAAAAUUUGGCUGUAGUUAGACACAGGAGCACUGUGCAGUGAGUCCACCACUGGACUCCCAACAUGUUUACAUCUCUGGUACAUAUACAAAUCAACACCAAUCUUUCACUCUUUGAGCUUCUCGCUCCUGUUAUGCCCUCCGUCCAUAAUACCCUGUUGUGUCUCCGCCUAGGAGAAUCUAUUCAACUUCAAGGCUUACUUCAAGUUUCACCUCCAAAAAGCAAGGGCACCAUGCCAAUGAUCAUCCCAUGUGGAUGUGACACGGCUUUCCCUGAACUACAAUAACACUCACACUUUAAUACUUCUACGGCAACUGUCACACAUAUCUGGUUACAUGAGAGGCAGCAUCAAACAGCAUUAAGACCUUAGGCUUGUGGUCAGAAUACCUGGGUUUGGGUCCCACCUCCCCCACAUACUAGCUGUGUAAGUAAGUUGAACAACUUACUUAAAUCCUUUUUUUUUUUUGUCUGUAAAAUGGGAAUGAUAAUAGCACAUACCUCACGGAAUCGUGAGGAUUAAAUUAAUACAUGUCAAGUGCUUAGAGUAAUGCAUGGCAAAGAUAGCAAGGGCUUUUGAGUAUUGACCGCAUCUAUCCAACAGAACUAUUUCUCAAGGAGCACAUAGACAACAAGCCUGGGUCAUAACGUCAUUUUCAUUCACAUUGCACCUGAAGUGAGUUUUUAUGUCUUUUAGGUACCAGGGUAUGAUGCAAGGAGCUGGGCUUUAGUUAUAAACACUUGAAUCCAAGUCCAAAUUGCCAAAUUUGCCGUUUCACUUUAGGCAAAUAUUUCACCUCUCUGUGCCUCAAAUUUUCUAACCUGUAAAGUUGGAAUAAUAUCUACUUCACAGGGCUAUUUAGGCCAAAAAUUACACAGUUAAACUCUCAGCAUCAUGCCUGGUUCAUAGUAGACACACCAUAAAUUUUAAUUCCUUUUCACUUCUUCCCAUAAGGCAAACAAUUACAGCUUUACAACAUUUUCUCAGAGCCCAACCAUGACUAGAUUCUACAAAAUUAAUUUCACUUUUAAACCUCAAAUUCCACAAAAAUGAGUUUAAAGGAAACUCAUUUAUAUUUACCCCGGAAAUCUAAACUCUUGAUAAUACCACACAUUUUAGUUUCUUCUCACUUCUUCCCACAAGAUAAAUAAUUUCAGCUUUACAACAUUUUCUCAGAGCCCAACCAUGACUACACUGUGCAAAAUGAAUUAAUUUCACUUUUAAAUCUCAAAUCCCGUAAAAAUGAGUUUACUUAAAAUGAAACUCACUUGCAUUUACCACAGAAAUUUAAACUCUUAAUUACACCAUAUACCUUAAUUCCUUUUCACUUCUUUCCAUAAGAUAAAUCACAACUUUACAACAUUUUCUGAGCCCAACCAUGACUAGAUUGUGCGAAAUUAAUUAAUUUCACUUUUAAAUCUCAAAUCCCAUAAAAAUGAGUUUACUUAAAAUGAAACUCACUUGUAUUUACCACAGAAAUUUAAACUAUUCAUUACACCAUACACUUUA
rnacentral:lncRNA from 1 species